UACGGAGGGUGCAAGCGUUGUCCGGAUUUAUUGGGUUUAAAGGGUGCGUAGGCGGCCCAUUAAGUCAGUGGUGAAAUACUGCAGCUUAACUGUAGCAUUGCCAUAGAUACUGAUGGGCUUGAGUGCAGAUGAGGUAGGCGGAAUUGAUGGUGUAGCGGUGAAAUGCAUAGAUACCAUCAAGAACACCGAUUGCGAAAGGCAGCUUACUAAGCUGUAACUGACGCUGAGGCACGAAAAGUGUGGGGAUCGAACAGG
rnacentral:rRNA from 1 species